rnacentral:rRNA from 1 species
CAAUAGCGUAUAUUAAAGUUGUUGCAGUUAGAACGCUCGUAGUCGGAUUUCGGGGCGGGCCGACCGGUCUGCCGAUGGGUACGCACUGGUCGGCGCGUCCUUCCUUCCGGAGACCGUGCCUACUCUUAACUGAGCGGGCGCGGGAGACGGAACUUUUACUUUGAAAAAAUCAGAGUGUUUCAAGCAGGCAUUGCGCUCUUGCAUGGAUUAGCAUGGGAUAAUGAAAUAGGACUUUGGUGCUAUUUUGUUGGUUUCGAACACCGAAGUAAUGAUUAAUAGGGACAGUCAGGGGCACUCGUAUUCCGCCGAGAGAGGUGAAAUUCUCAGACCAGCGGAAGACGAACCACUGCGAAAGCAUUUGCCAGGGAUGUUUUCACUG